GGGAGAGGGGGGGGGGGGGGGGGGCUUCCCUUUUACCGAACCAGAGUCACUGGAGCAAAAACAACUCUACUUCACAUAAGCACAGAAGAAAAAGAGUCUGUUUAACUCAGUGAGUCGGUGACGAGCUUCAGAGGCCAAAGACCAAGUCCAAUGAAACCCAAACAGCACGGUGUGUCCUUCAGAGCUUCAAGUGCUGAAGAUGCUUCUUCUUUAUUCCCUCAGUAAACAUGAGUUUAUGGUCUCAGUCUCAAGUCUUCUUCAACACAGAUGAUGUUCAUUUAGUGAUUUAUGGUCCAUGUAGAGUCACACAGACCAUGAAGCAGGGGACGCUUUAGGACUCCUCCUCCACUGAGCUGCGUCUUUGUGAUGGACGGAGACGUCAGUCUGCGUCUCGGAUGCUUCAUGUGUUGUUACAGUGACUCAGUCGGCGACACACAACCAGGUUCAAAGGGAAACUUUACGCUUACUCACAUGACGUUAUGUCUCCUGAACGGACCAAUGACACGUCGCUAUUUAAAUAUCGCUGCCGCAAGGAAUUGUGGGACACUUUCUUUGGUGAAGGACGCUCCAGUGGUUCCUUUGCUACAGGAGCUAAGUAAGGAAGCAUUGAGGCUCCUUUCCUUGGCAUUAGAGAAUCAUGGAGCCACUACUUCACUUCCUUUCACUCAGUGAGGAACCACAAACCAACAAGAGACGUCGCCAUGACAACGAAUGGUAUCAUUCAUUAUUUAGAUGAGCCUUAAAUCUACAAGAGGACAUCACACAGUAGGAGACUCACACGGACUUCCUUCCUGAAAUGACAUUACAUGUCAUUUAGCGGACGCUUUUAUCCAAAGCGACGUACAAUAAGUGCAUUCAACCAUAGGGUACAAACUCAGGAGAACAAGAAACAAGAAAGUGCAAUUUCCUCAAAUAAGCCAAUUUACAAUUUGCUAUAGAUGAGUGACGUUACAAGUACAAUUUAAUUGAGGUAGAGUCUGAAGAGACACAAUGAGACACAACAAGAUUAACAGAAAAGAAUUACUGCAUUUAAUCAAACAUUUAAUCAAACACACACGUCCCAGCAGCUCCAUCACUGCAGGGGAGGAAACCACAGCUGAAAACUCACUCAUGUCCAGUUACUGCAGAGAGUUUCAAAAAGAAAACAGUUUUUAACGGUUCUAACUGGAUUUGUCUUUUCAUUUAUCAAUUAACCAAACAAUUUAUACUGAUGAUAAUAAUAUGAAAGAAACAAAAUACUACUGCAACUAAUAAUAAUAAUAAUGAUAAUAAUGAUAAUAGAUAUUGCUGUUGUGCAUCGAUGUUUAUAAUCUCGUGGUGUCUGAGAUGAUCGUCACAUCCGAGGUCGACUACCAGCACCCUGACCCCUGACCUCUGACCCCGACCCCUGUAUUGCUGCUCCGACUCCGUUGGCCGGCAACGCGGACGAGCGUCUGUGUCCCUCCCCAUUCAGCCGGCUCCGUCGCUUGAUGAUGACGUCAGAGCCAAUGGCGCCGCUGCAGCUGUGCUGUUCCACAUGAGAACCAGGUGACUCGGAGAAGACGAGCCGUCCGCAGGUGAAGCCUCCGGUGAGACGAUGCUCUUCUUCUUCGUCUUCUUCGCUUGUGCUGAAAUGCGUAGCUUCCGCGCGUGUUUACAAACAGAGUUAGCAGCUAAGCGAGCAGCUAAGCUAGCUAGCUGUCAACAUUCUCUGUGUGCUUCUGGGGGAGACAGAAGUAUUCAUACCCUUUACUGCAGUACAAUUACCACGGUGGAAGUGGUACAAGCCCUGCAUGUAUCACCUAACUGAAGUAGAAUGUACAUGAAGUAGAAUGUACAUUAGUACAAGUAGUACGUAACGUUCUGUGAUGUUCGCUCCAUCUUAUUCUAAAUGCUUUGUUCUUUGAGCUCAUCUGGAAAACGUGUUUAUCACCUCUGCCCUGAAAUGUGGCACCAAACACAACAGGUCCUUCUGGCAAGAAUUACCCCUUUAAAGCUUGAUCCUGUGAGUCAGAACUCAUCGUCACACAGUAUUCAAGCCCUCUGACCUUUGACACGGUCUGUGGCCCGGAGGCUCCGCUCAGCGCUCCCGUGUGUUUGAAUGCCGGCUCUCGUUGGUGCUGUGAGGAUGGAGUUGAAGGUGAGGCGGAGGGACGGUCACUGAGGUGGAGGCCUCCACUCUCCUGAGGGUCUGUGACCACACGCUGCCGGACGGCUCAACACGACGCUCCUUCAGACCUCCGCUUGAUCAACAGGAAAUAGAUCCAGUGGAUUUCAGGAAAACGGGUUAAAAACGAGCUGUGAAGUAGAAUCCGACAAACAUGGAGCGCGUGUUAUUGGAUUAUGGUUUAUAAUAUUGUUAUUUGAAAUUGGAAAUGUUCAGAUUGGUACUUAUUUUAAACAGAUUAAAACGGUAAAAGCACAGCAUUAUUGAUAUUGGUUUUGUGUUGUCUGCAGGGAUGAACGUGUCGGUGCGCGAGCUCCGCCUCUCUUCAGAGCCUGACUCCUCCUACUUCCUCCGGCUGGACUGGAAGGGGCGGGGUUUGGGCUCAGGCUUCCGGUUGCUCCUGACUGACGGACAGAGCGCUUGGAGAGGAGACGGUAGGAGAGAACGACUCACCUAACAGUAGAAUCACCGGCUGACGAUGCUCAGAGGCUCCACAACGACCUCUGAUUCCAGUACCAAGGUCAAGGUCACGUCACGUGGCUGUUACAGGCAAACUUAGCUUCAAAGUUGGGUUUACAAUUUCUGAACAUCAUUAUUAUUAAUUCCUGUAUCGAUUCAUUACAUUACAUUACAUGUCAUUUAGCUGACGCUUUUAUCCAAAGCGACGUACAAUAAGUGCAUUCAACCAUAGGGUACAAACUCAGGAGAACAAGAAACAAGAAAGUGCAAUUUCCUCAAAUAAGCGAAUUUACAAUUUGCUAUAGAUGAGUGACGUCACAAGUACAGUUUAAGUGCUACAAUUUGUUAGUCUUUAGUCGAGGUAGAAACUGAAGAGGUGUGUCUUUAG
ensembl:lncRNA